UACGUAGGGGGCAAGCGUUGUCCGGAUUUACUGGGCGUAAAGAGCGUGUAGGCUGCCAUGUAGGUCCGGUUUGAAAACUCGAGGCUUAACCUCGAGAUGUCAUCGGAAACCAUUUGGCUAGAGUCCGGAAGAGGAGAGUGGAAUUCCUGGUGUAGCGGUGAAAUGCGCAGAUAUCAGGAAGAACACCAAUGGCGAAAGCAGCUCUCUGGGACGGUACUGACGCUGAGACGCGAAAGCGUGGGGAGCGAACAGG
rnacentral:rRNA from 1 species